AGUGAACGCUGGCGGCGUGCUUAACACAUGCAAGUCGAACGAGAACGGGUUAUAGCUUGCUAUAAUUGUCAGCUAAGUGGCGCACGGGUGAGUAAUGUAUAGGUAAUAUGCCUCUUACUAAGGGAUAACAAAUGGAAACGUUUGCUAAUACCUUAUACUCCUUAUUAACUAAAGUUGGUAAGGGAAAGAUUUAUUGGUAAGAGAUUGGCCUGUAUUGUAUCAGUUAGUUGGUGGGGUAAUGGCCUACCAAGACUAUGACGCAUAGGGGAGCUGAGAGGCUGACCCCCACCGAUGGUACUGAGAUACGGACCAUACACCUACGGGUGGCCGCAGUCGAGAAUCUUCCACAAUGGGCGCAAGCCUGAUGGAGCGAUGUCGCGUGAUUGAUGAAGUGUUUCGGCAUGUAAAGAUCUUUUCUAGAGGAGGAAGUUUAUUGACGUUACUCUAGGAAUAAGGGGGUUGCUAAACUCGUG
rnacentral:rRNA from 1 species